rnacentral:rRNA from 1 species
CCUACGGGAGGCAGCAGUCGAGAAUCAUUCACAAUGGGGGAAACCCUGAUGGUGCGACGCCGCGUGGGGGAAUGAAGGUCUUCGGAUUGUAAACCCCUGUCAUGUGGGAGCAAAUUAAAAAGAUAGUACCACAAGAGGAAGAGACGGCUAACUCGGUGCCAGCAGCCGCGGGAAUACAGAGGUCUCAAGCGUUGUUCGGAAUCACUGGGCGUAAAGCGUGCGGAGGCUGUUUCGUAAGUCGUGUGUGAAAGGCGCGGGCUCAACCCGCGGACGGCACAUGAUACUGCGAGACUAGAGUAAUGGAGGGGGAACCGGAAUUCUCGGUGUAGCAGUGAAAUGCGUAGAUAUCGAGAGGAACACUCGUGGCGAAGGCGGGUUCCUGGACAUUAACUGACGCUGAGGCACGAAGGCCAGGGGAGCGAAAGGGAUUAGAUACCCCAGUAGUC